AAUCCUAAGCAUGUGCAUAAAACUGAGAUCCUGUUGCUCAUAAAAACCAAUCAGCCCGCAGUUGGUCCACAAGGUGUUGAGCACUCGCUGGAGCAGAUGGGAAAGAUAAUGUUUAAUAAAGAGUUAGAGGAUUAGGUGGUACAAAACAAGCAAAGAGAAAGGGAUAAUUUGAUUUCAGGUGAACCUCUGUGACAUUUCUUGUACCCAGAGACAGAUUAAAAUGAUUCCAAAGCCAUGACUUUUGGCUCCUCUUCCCCAGGGCCGACCCGGCUGCAUACAUUGUCAGCUUUUGACUCUGCUGGCAUGACCAUCACCGGAAUCUGUGAAUAACACAGAAGAGAGUUUCUCAGGUUUAUGAAGAUGUAUGAAAAGUUAAAUGAAAAACGGAUUGCGGAUUACAGCCUAAGCGGGUUUGAGCCUGAAUUUAAUAUAACAACUUGUGGCAAAUGGAAGGAGCGGGAAGGUAGCGCCGACUAGUCCGAAGUCCUCUGGAGAGGGUCUACACUACGAAGAGUUCCAGAGAAGGAGAGCUAAUCCUAGGGGGAUCCAUUCCAUGUUCUUCCAAG
rnacentral:lncRNA from 1 species